rnacentral:misc_RNA from 1 species
AACCUUAUGGACCUGCGGGCGUAUACCUGCGGAAGGAUCAUUAACCUUUCAAAUCAGGGUGCGGCGCGGCCCCCGAGGAGCGGAAACAAUCCUUGGGAGGUAUGCGGGGGCUUCGAGCCCCCCAUUUACGCACGCACGACUGCCAUCCUUACUAUACGAGCACCUUCUGUUCUCCCUCGGCGGGGCAACCUGCCGUUGGAACCGAAUAAACUCUUUUUGCAUCUAGCAUUACCUGUUCCG